rnacentral:ncRNA from 1 species
UUAUUUGCAUUGAAAUGGUAAGUACGAUAGAAGAACCUUUGACAGAGAGCUUCGGUAGCUGAGAAGAAGCAAGGAACGACUAUUGGAAAAUGGCCAUCGAGCAAUUCAUCCCGAGCAUAGAUGUAAGGCGAUGACGGCUGCGACCGAUAUCUUGCUAGAGUAUGAUCGUACUUGAAGAGGAGUUGUGUGUGAACACAGCUUGAACAUGAGGUGGUAACACGCAAAAAAGCGUCCUCAAG